CCUUUAUAGUGGGUGUAGGGUCUGAAAAACUCAGAUAUGGAUGUGUUGUCUAUCAGCUUCUUCUUUUGUACACCCAUGAGAUUGGAGUUAAAUAACAGCACGAUAAUU